rnacentral:tRNA from 1 species
UGUGCCGCUGUGUCCAUUGAACACAUUCUGCGCGAGUCUACGCCGGCACAU